rnacentral:rRNA from 1 species
UACGGAGGGUGCAAGCGUUAUCCGGAUUCACUGGGUUUAAAGGGUGCGUAGGUGGGUUGGUAAGUCAGUGGUGAAAUCCCCGAGCUUAACUUGGGAACUGCCAUUGAUACUAUUAAUCUUGAAUAUUGUGGAGGUCAGCGGAAUAUGUCAUGUAGCGGUGAAAUGCUUAGAGAUGACACAGAACACCAAUUGCGCAGGCAGCUGGCUACGCAUAUAUUGACACUGAGGCACGAAAGCGUGGGGAUCAAACAGG